rnacentral:rRNA from 1 species
UACGAGGGGUCCUAGCGUUGUUCGGAAUCAUUGGGCGUAAAGAGCUCGUAGGUGGCUUAGUAAGUCAGGUGUGAAAUCCCAGGGCUCAACCCCGGACGUGCACUUGAAACUGCAUAGCUUGAGUACGGUAGAGGUGAGUGGAAUUCCUGGUGUAGUGGUGAAAUACGUAGAUAUCAGGAGGAACAUCAGUGGCGAAGGCGGCUCACUGGACCAGUACUGACACUGAGGAGCGAAAGCAUGGGGAUCAAACAGG